GAUGAAGAACGUAGCGAAAUGCGAUAAUUAAUGUGAAUUGCAGAAUUCCGUGAAUCAUCGAGUCUUUGAACGCACAUUGCGCCUCAUGGCAUUCCGUGAGGCAUGCCCAUCUCAGCGUUAGAAAAUAUUCUCAAAUUUUAGUUUUGUGCUAAAAUUUGGAUCAUGUCAAGGAAGCUAUUACUAUGAUUGUGAUCGCUCUUUGGAAAUUGAUAGGUCUUUGAGUUGCUACUCAUAGAACGUGAUGAAUCUUUCUUCGUUCUAUUGUAAUUCACUCUGGUAGUCCUAAAACUUGUAUGCCUGUGGCAUAUCUUGUAAUUUGACCUGAGAUUGGGUAGGGAUACCCGCUGAACUUAAGCAUAUCAAUAAGCGGAGGA
rnacentral:misc_RNA from 1 species